UUAGAGUUUGAUCCUGGCUCAGGAUGAACGCUGGCGGCGUGCCUAAUACAUGCAAGUCGAGCGAAUGGAUUAAGAGCUUGCUCUUAUGAAGUCAGCGGCGGACGGGUGAGUAACACGUGGGUAACCUGCCCAUAAGACUGGGAUAACUCCGGGAAACCGAGGCUAAUACCGGAUAACAUUUUGAACCACAUGGUUCGAAAUUGAAAGGCGGCUUCGGCUUUCACUUAUGGAUGGACCCGCGUCGCAUUAGCUAGUUGGUGAGGUAACCGCUCACCAAGGCAACGAUGCGUAGCCGACCUGAGAGGGUGAUCGGCCACACUGGGACUGAGACACGGCCCAGACUCCUACAGGAGGCAGCAGUAGGGAAUCUUCCGCAAUGGACGAAAGUCUGACGGAGCAACGCCGCGUGAGUGAUGAAGGCUUUCGGGUCGUAAAACUCUGUUGUUAGGGAAGAACAAGUGCUAGUUGAAUAAGCUGGCACCUUGACGGUACCUAACCAGAAAGCCACGGCUAACUACGUGCCAGCAGCCGCGGUAAUACGUAGGUGGCAAGCGUUAUCCGGAAUUAUUGGGCGUAAAGCGCGCGCAGGUGGUUUCUUAAGUCUGAUGUGAAAGCCCACGGCUCAACCGUGGAGGGUCAUUGGAAACUGGGAGACUUGAGUGCAGAAGAGGAAAGUGGAAUUCCAUGUGUAGCGGUGAAAUGCGUAGAGAUAUGGAGGAACACCAGUGGCGAAGGCGACUUUCUGGUCUGUAACUGACACUGAGCGCGAAAGCGUGGGGAGCAAACAGGAUUAGAUACCCUGGUAGUCCACGCCGUAAACGAUGAGUGCUAAGUGUUAGAGGGUUUCCGCCCUUUAGUGCUGAAGUUAACGCAUUAAGCACUCCGCCUGGGGGAGUACGGCCCGCAGGCU
rnacentral:rRNA from 1 species